rnacentral:sRNA from 1 species
GAAAAGAUGUUCCUCUUGGUUUAUCCAAUGCUUUCGGAUCUCCUCAGUGAUUACAUGGAGAGUUUGCAUCAACUUCCGUUGCUUUCGAUAAGUUUGGCGAGUAUCUAGUACAUUUCGGAACGAUGUGAUUAUUAUGCAGCAUACAGAUGUAGUCAGACGAUAGGAAUAAGUCAUUUUAACAUUUUCCAACCUAGAUCUCGUCAGAAAUCGUUGGAGAAAUGGAAGAAGUUGUUUAAAACAUAGCUUGAAACGAGGACCCCCUAUAAAUCCAAGAUGGCGAGUGUCGUCCCUUUACUUUUUUUAAUGUACACUGAAUACACUUUUUUAACAUGAGUGAAACGGGGGGUUUCAGUGAAUUUAUUUAUUGCAAUUUACAGAAAUACACAUAAGAUUACCAAUUUUAAUCAAUUUUUUCCUCGGGAACAAAUAAUUAGGAAAUUCACUAUCCAACAACCAAGCCCCUGUGCCACACACUGUGGCAGAUCGAGCAAUGUCAAUUAUCGCAUGGAUUUUAUAAACGGGGAGUUUUAAUUUGUAGGAAUGGAUAGAAACGUUGUUACUUUCUUGGAUUUACUAUCAUUUAGCUACUGUGUUGGAUGUAGUGUCGCCAGGGUUUUCAAGAAGAUACAGACGUUAUGCACUCUGUAUGAACGGCACACGUGUUCGAUGUGCAUGUGAAGUAAGGCAGCACUGUCUGUGCAAAAUAAUACAGAUACCUUGGACUUCCUUUCAAAAAAUAAAUAUAUUUUGUAUUUC